rnacentral:rRNA from 1 species
AGCGUACACGGUGGAUGCCCUGGCAGUCAGAGGCGAUGAAGGACGUGCUAAUCUGCGAUAAGCGUCGGUAAGGUGAUAUGAACCGUUAUAACCGGCGAUUUCCGAAUGGGGAAACCCAGUGUGAUUCGUCACACUAUCAUUAACUGAAUCCAUAGGUUAAUGAGGCGAACCGGGGGAACUGAAACAUCUAAGUACCCCGAGGAAAAGAAAUCAACCGAGAUUCCCCCAGUAGCGGCGAGCGAACGGGGAGCAGCCCAGAGCCUGAAUCAGUGUGUGUGUUAGUGGAAGCGUCUGGAAAGGCGCGCGAUACAGGGUGACAGCCCCGUACACAAAAAUGCACAUGCUGUGAGCUCGAUGAGUAGGGCGGGACACGUGGUAUCCUGUCUGAAUAUGGGGGGACCAUCCUCCAAGGCUAAAUACUCCUGACUGACCGAUAGUGAACCAGUACCGUGAGGGAAAGGCGAAAAGAACCCCGGCGAGGGGAGUGAAAAAGAACCUGAAACCGUGUACGUACAAGCAGUGGGAGCACGCUUAGGCGUGUGACUGCGUACCUUUUGUAUAAUGGGUCAGCGACUUAUAUUCUGUAGCAAGGUUAACCGAAUAGGGGAGCCGAAGGGAAACCGAGUCUUAACUGGGCGUUAAGUUGCAGGGUAUAGACCCGAAACCCGGUGAUCUAGCCAUGGGCAGGUUGAAGGUUGGGUAACACUAACUGGAGGACCGAACCGACUAAUGUUGAAAAAUUAGCGGAUGACUUGUGGCUGGGGGUGAAAGGCCAAUCAAACCGGGAGAUAGCUGGUUCUCCCCGAAAGCUAUUUAGGUAGCGCCUCGUGAAUUCAUCUCCGGGGGUAGAGCACUGUUUCGGCAAGGGGGUCAUCCCGACUUACCAACCCGAUGCAAACUGCGAAUACCGGAGAAUGUUAUCACGGGAGACACACGGCGGGUGCUAACGUCCGUCGUGAAGAGGGAAACAACCCAGACCGCCAGCUAAGGUCCCAAAGUCAUGGUUAAGUGGGAAACGAUGUGGGAAGGCCCAGACAGCCAGGAUGUUGGCUUAGAAGCAGCCAUCAUUUAAAGAAAGCGUAAUAGCUCACUGGUCGAGUCGGCCUGCGCGGAAGAUGUAACGGGGCUAAACCAUGCACCGAAGCUGCGGCAGCGACGCUUAUGCGUUGUUGGGUAGGGGAGCGUUCUGUAAGCCUGCGAAGGUGUGCUGUGAGGCAUGCUGGAGGUAUCAGAAGUGCGAAUGCUGACAUAAGUAACGAUAAAGCGGGUGAAAAGCCCGCUCGCCGGAAGACCAAGGGUUCCUGUCCAACGUUAAUCGGGGCAGGGUGAGUCGACCCCUAAGGCGAGGCCGAAAGGCGUAGUCGAUGGGAAACAGGUUAAUAUUCCUGUACUUGGUGUUACUGCGAAGGGGGGACGGAGAAGGCUAUGUUGGCCGGGCGACGGUUGUCCCGGUUUAAGCGUGUAGGCUGGUUUUCCAGGCAAAUCCGGAAAAUCAAGGCUGAGGCGUGAUGACGAGGCACUACGGUGCUGAAGCAACAAAUGCCCUGCUUCCAGGAAAAGCCUCUAAGCAUCAGGUAACAUCAAAUCGUACCCCAAACCGACACAGGUGGUCAGGUAGAGAAUACCAAGGCGCUUGAGAGAACUCGGGUGAAGGAACUAGGCAAAAUGGUGCCGUAACUUCGGGAGAAGGCACGCUGAUAUGUAGGUGAAGUGAUUUACUCAUGGAGCUGAAAUCAGUCGAAGAUACCAGCUGGCUGCAACUGUUUAUUAAAAACACAGCACUGUGCAAACACGAAAGUGGACGUAUACGGUGUGACGCCUGCCCGGUGCCGGAAGGUUAAUUGAUGGGGUCAGCGCAAGCGAAGCUCUUGAUCGAAGCCCCGGUAAACGGCGGCCGUAACUAUAACGGUCCUAAGGUAGCGAAAUUCCUUGUCGGGUAAGUUCCGACCUGCACGAAUGGCGUAAUGAUGGCCAGGCUGUCUCCACCCGAGACUCAGUGAAAUUGAACUCGCUGUGAAGAUGCAGUGUACCCGCGGCAAGACGGAAAGACCCCGUGAACCUUUACUAUAGCUUGACACUGAACAUUGAGCCUUGAUGUGUAGGAUAGGUGGGAGGCUUUGAAGUGUGGACGCCAGUCUGCAUGGAGCCGACCUUGAAAUACCACCCUUUAAUGUUUGAUGUUCUAACGUGGACCCGUAAUCCGGGUUGCGGACAGUGUCUGGUGGGUAGUUUGACUGGGGCGGUCUCCUCCUAAAGAGUAACGGAGGAGCACGAAGGUUGGCUAAUCCUGGUCGGACAUCAGGAGGUUAGUGCAAUGGCAUAAGCCAGCUUGACUGCGAGCGUGACGGCGCGAGCAGGUGCGAAAGCAGGUCAUAGUGAUCCGGUGGUUCUGAAUGGAAGGGCCAUCGCUCAACGGAUAAAAGGUACUCCGGGGAUAACAGGCUGAUACCGCCCAAGAGUUCAUAUCGACGGCGGUGUUUGGCA